ensembl:lncRNA
UUUGAAAACUAGAGUUACUGAGAACAUGUUUUCCUUUUCUGUUUGCUUCCUUCCUUCUUUCUUUCUUCCUAUAGAACCAAAGACUGAAUCUUUAUGUGAAGGGCUCUUCACCUAGCAAGGAGUGCUUCUAUGAGUCUGUGACGUAUUGGAUGCUAAGACUGGGGGAUCAAUAACAUCUCAGUCAUCAGGUACAGUGAUAAGCUUCCUUACCCAAUGAGAAAUCUUGCUGGCCUGAUGUUACCAACUGUUUUCUACUACAAACUUUGUUGCUGCCAAGACCUGGAAACCUGUCUCUGCUUCCUGCUGCCAUGCCUUCCCCACCAUUCAAACAGAGACCUGAAAUUGACCCACCUGAAGUUGAAUUCAUCAGGUGUUUGAACACAG